UGCAAUCGCUAUGACCCUCUUGCGAAUCCUACCUUUCUCCAGUUAUAAAUCUCCACGUAGUCGAGUUCUUGCUUCCAUAGUUUUUUUGGCUACAUGUCUUUGUUUUUUAAGGUGGUGCAAAUCCCUCUCUAGCCGUGCUAUAAAAGAAUAACAGUGCUCCCUUUCAGCUUCAAAAUCUCUUCCCCUCUUGGCCAUUUCAUAUUCAACGAUCUUGACCUUUUCAUUCAUACUUUCCAUCCCCUAGUUGUAUUUUUCCCUCAACUGACGGACAAAACUUGCUAGUUCCCAUGCAUCCUUGGCUAUCUUGGCCUGAGCACUCGCUAACUCCUUUUCAGUCUUCUGUAAAUCAUCCUAGAAAUCAUGUGCCUUCUGGGUAAGGUUGUAGAUGAUCUUCUCGUCCUUUCUACUCCUUCCCGGGUUGUCAAUUGCUAUUUAUAUUUUCCGGGUCUGUGCUGUGAGAGCUUCAUUUUCUUGGAUCAAUCUUCUUUUCUCACCUUCGGCUUCCUGAACCUGAAGAUCAUUGUUGAACUCCAUGCUUCUCAACUUUUCUUUAAAGGCAUGAAUCUCAACUUGAUAUGUUCCCUUUGUCUCCAUGCUAAUCUCUCUUGGAUUUUGUCUUUGGAAGCUUGAACAUGAGGUCUUUUGGUGGGCCUUUAAGGUUUGUUUUCAGGCUCAAUGUUCAUACAUGACCUCUUAUCGAAUCAAGGAGCAUAGUGUGGAUCCACUUCUCCUUUUGCGACAUCUGGUACUUGAGUGCCAUUUUUAAGAUACCGGCAACUAUUCCAAUCAUGUUGAACUGAGGCUUCGGGCAAUGCGUCUUCCGG
rnacentral:lncRNA from 1 species